UAUGGCCACAUCAUGUUUGAACACAGGUUCCUGUACAAUCACUAGAGUUAAGUAAUGUCAAGCCUGGUCAGUACCUAGAUGGGUGACCGCUUGGGAAAACCAGAUGCUGUAAG